GGGAUUGUGGCUCAGCGGUAGAGCACUCACCUAGCAUGUGUGAGGCACUGGGUUCGAUCCUCAGUGCCA
rnacentral:tRNA from 1 species